AAUCCGUGUUGCAGGCACUUUCUCAGGAGCUCCAUGAACAUUUCCCACGUCUCAAAUAGAGAUUCAAAUUCCAACUGAACAAAGAACAAGAUCUCAUUCCUAAGCUU